UUAGGUUGAGACGUGUGUAGCGUUCGGGGAGGCCUGAGGGCGGGGCGGGGAGCAGGCUGGAAGCUGCGGGCAGGGUACGCUUCCCGCGGGCGCGCGGAGCGAGGACGGUGACAGCCACGCGCGCGCGUGCGUGCCCUGCUGUGGCGCGGCCCCGCGACCCCCGUCGGCAGCCCAGAGGCGCGCCGGGUCUGGGCGGCCGCUGUCUAGGAUUCUUGUUCCCGGGCGUGCCCGGCGUCCCCGACCCCAGUCUCGGAGUGUCGGGCCUCGCCCGCCCCGUCGGCUCCUGCUAGCGUCUGCCCCUUGCCGCCGUCAGGGCCUGCCCCCCAACUCCCCUUUUUCGCUCCGGGGGCAGGGUCCUCGCGGCCCAUGCUGGCCGCUGGGGACCCACGCAACCCAGCUCGCUCUUGGGCCGGCCAGCCGGCCACCAUGGUGGCCCUGAGGCCUGUGCAACUCCUCCAGGGGGGCUAACAGGUCCAGAGCACAGGCUUUGGGGCGCGAGGGUCCCAGGUCUGAGCCCCGCGCCAUGGCCGGGGCCAUCGCUUCCCGCAUGAGCUUCAGCUCGCUCAAGAGGAAGCAGCCCAAGACGUUCACAGUGCGGAUCGUCACCAUGGACGCCGAGAUGGAGUUCAAUUGCGAGGUGAAAUGGAAAGGGAAGGACCUGUUUGAUUUGGUGUGCCGGACUCUGGGGCUGCGGGAAACCUGGUUUUUUGGACUACAGUACACAAUCAAGGACACCGUGGCCUGGCUCAAAAUGGACAAGAAGGUGCUGGAUCAUGAUGUUUCAAAGGAGGAGCCGGUCACCUUUCACUUCCUGGCCAAAUUUUAUCCUGAGAAUGCUGAGGAGGAGCUGGUUCAGGAGAUCACACAACACUUAUUCUUCUUGCAGGUGAAGAAGCAGAUUUUAGAGGAAAAGAUCUACUGCCCUCCUGAGGCUUCUGUGCUCCUGGCUUCUUAUGCUGUCCAGGCCAAGUAUGGUGACUACGACCCCUCAGUGCACAAACGGGGGUUUUUGGCCCAAGAAGAAUUGCUUCCAAAAAGGGUAAUAAAUCUAUAUCAGAUGACUCCAGAAAUGUGGGAGGAGAGAAUUACAGCUUGGUAUGCAGAGCACCGAGGCCGAGCCAGGGAUGAAGCUGAAAUGGAGUACUUGAAGAUAGCUCAGGACCUGGAGAUGUAUGGUGUGAACUACUUUGCAAUUCGGAAUAAAAAGGGCACAGAGCUGCUGCUUGGAGUAGAUGCUCUGGGACUUCACAUCUAUGACCCUGAGAACAGGCUGACCCCCAAGAUCUCCUUCCCGUGGAAUGAAAUCCGAAACAUCUCAUACAGCGACAAGGAGUUUACUAUUAAACCACUGGAUAAGAAAAUUGAUGUCUUCAAAUUUAACUCCUCAAAACUUCGUGUUAAUAAGCUGAUUCUUCAAUUAUGUAUUGGGAACCAUGACCUAUUUAUGAGGAGAAGGAAGGCCGAUUCUUUGGAAGUUCAGCAGAUGAAAGCCCAAGCCAGGGAGGAGAAGGCUAGAAAGCAGAUGGAGCGGCAGCGCCUAGCUCGAGAGAAACAGAUGCGGGAGGAGGCUGAACGCACGAGGGAUGAGCUGGAGAGGAGGCUGCUACAGAUGAAGGAAGAAGCCACGAUGGCCAAUGAAGCACUGAUGCGGUCAGAGGAGACAGCCGACCUGUUGGCUGAAAAGGCCCAGAUCACCGAGGAAGAGGCCAAACUCCUGGCCCAGAAAGCCGCAGAGGCAGAGCAGGAGAUGCAGCGCAUUAAGGCCACAGCCAUUCGGACAGAGGAAGAGAAACGCCUCAUGGAGCAGAAGGUGCUGGAGGCUGAGGUGCUAGCACUGAAGAUGGCUGAGGAGUCAGAGAGGAGGGCCAAGGAGGCAGAUCAGUUGAAGCAGGACCUGCAGGAAGCCCGUGAGGCAGAGCGAAGAGCCAAGCAGAAGCUUCUGGAAAUCGCCACCAAGCCCACAUACCCGCCCAUGAACCCAAUUCCAGCACCGUUGCCUCCUGACAUACCAAGCUUCAACCUCAUUGGUGACAGCCUGUCUUUUGACUUCAAGGAUACUGACAUGAAACGGCUUUCCAUGGAAAUAGAGAAAGAAAAAGUGGAAUAUAUGGAGAAGAGCAAGCAUCUCCAGGAGCAGCUUAAUGAGCUCAAGACAGAAAUCGAGGCCUUGAAACUAAAAGAAAGGGAAACAGCUUUGGACAUUCUGCACAAUGAGAAUUCGGACAGAGGUGGCACCAGCAGCAAGCACAAUACCAUUAAAAAGCCUCAAGCCCAAGGCAGAAGACCUAUCUGCAUUUGAGCCCUCAAACUCACUUUGCAGAGUGCCAAGUCUCGAGUGGCCUUCUUUGAAGAGCUCUAACAGGGCUGGGGCCUCACAGCCCCUGGCGGAGCAGCCUUGGCAAGGAUUCAGCCUCUCCCAGUGGCCCUGGGGCCAAGCCGGCCCUCGUGGGAUUCCAGGGACGCUGCAUCCAUUUUCAGAGAUGUCAAGCAGCACUUCUUCCUGUAGGGCCUGACUCACGCCUCCUGUCAGGACCAGACCUUGGAAGGCUUUUUCUAUUCUGGGGACUGUUGUAAUUUAAGUGAUUGUUUUAAUAAAAAUUCUAAGCUCUAA